GACAGAGGUGCCGAGCGUUAGGCGGAAUCACUGGGCUUAAAGCGUGUGUAGGCGGACUUCUAAGUACCUUGUGAAAUCCCACAGCUCAACUGUGGAACUGCUCGGUAUACUGGUUGUCUUGAGCCACUUAGGGGCAGUCGGAACAGACGGUGGAGCGGUGAAAUGCGUAGAUAUCUGGAGGAACACCGGUGGCGAAGGCGGCAUCCUGGACCGGCAUGACGCUGAGGCGCGAAAGCCAGGGGAGCAAACGGGG
rnacentral:rRNA from 1 species